UACGUAGGGUGCAAGCGUUAUCCGGAAUUACUGGGCGUAAAGCGCGCGCAGGCGGUUCUUCAAGUCAGAGGUGCAAGCCCAGAGCUCAACUCUGGAAUGGCCUUUGAGACUAGAGAACUUGGGUACGGGAGAGGUGAGUGGAAUUCCGAGUGUAGAGGUGAAAUGCGUAGAUAUUCGGAAGAACACCAGUGGCGAAGGCGGCUCACUGGCCCGUUACCGACGCUCAGGCGCGACAGCGUGGGGAGCAAACAGG
rnacentral:rRNA from 1 species